rnacentral:rRNA from 1 species
GACGAACGCUGGCGGCGUGCUUAACACAUGCAAGUCGAGCGAUGAAGUUUCUUCGGAAAUGGAUUAGCGGCGAACGGGUGAGGAACACGUGAAGAAUCUGCCCUCCACUUUGGGAUAACACAGGGAAACCUGUGCUAAUACCGAAUAUUGAAACAUAAGUGGCAUCACUGAGUUUUUAAAGAAUUUCGGUGGAGGAUGACUUCGCGGCCUAUCAGCUAGUUGGUGAGGUAAUGGCUCACCAAGGCAACGACGGGUAGCCGGCCUGAGAGGGCGACCGGCCACACUGGGACUGAGACACGGCCCAGACUCCUACGGGAGGCAGCAGUGGGGAAUAUUGGGCAAUGGAGGAAACUCUGACCCAGCGACGCCGCGUGCGGGAUGAAGGCCUUCGGGUUGUAAACCGCUUUCAGUAGGGAAGAAGCGAAAGUGACGGUACCUACAAAAGAAGCACCGGCUAACUAUGUGCCAGCCGCCGCUGUAA